UCAGUAUUACAGCAGAAGGUUGUGCUGCUCUGGCGUCAGCAUUUCAUUCAAACCCUUCAAACCUGAAAGAGCUGGAUCUGAGUGGAAAUAAACUAGAAAACUCUGGAGUGACUGAAAUCUCAACUUUACUGGCAAACUCUCAGUGCACACUGCAGAUACUCAGUCUUUCAGACUGCAGUAUCACUGAAGAAGGUUAUAAAGCUCUGGCUUCAGCUCUGAGAUCAAACCCUUCACACCUGAUAGAGCUGGAUCUCACAGGAAAUGAUCCUGGACAAUCAGGAGUGAAGCAGCUCAGUGAUUUACUACAGGAUCCAAACUAUCAGCUGAAGACACUGAGGUUUUUGGGUCCUGCUGCAGAUGAAGCCUGUAAAUAUCUGAAUGAAGUUCUUCACAUUAAAAACUCAUUACUCCUGAGAGAGCUGAAUCUGAGUGAACAUGAACUAGGAGACACACGCGUGAAUCAGAUCACUGCUCUACUGCAGGAUAAACA